AAAACCCCUCUGCUUCCAGCCGUCAGUGAGCGCCACCCUCUCCAGGAACAGAUGUCCUGCGUUCUAAAUGAAGAGUGCAGAGCCCACAGCAAACAACUGUCCCCAGCAGCCCGGAUCCCUCUGACAUCAGCCCCCAGGAAUGUGCUGCAGACCCUCUAGCAUGUUCAGGCCUCCCAGGAUACCCUCCCCUCCCCUCCUCCAUCCCAGUGUUUCACUGGGGACAGGCCUCUGAGCUGCAGACGGAGGCCCUCGGAGGGUGGUAGACAGCCCACCCGGCUCCAGACCUGGAGACUGGAGGAGUGACUGGAGUGAGUGAGGCAGCCUUGAGUGGAGUGGAGCGGGAAGCCUGCCUGUGAAAGGGGCAGCUAGGCCAAUAGCUGGGCUGUAGGAAGAACACGGAGCUGGACUGAUUCAACCAAGAGUCCCACCGACUGGCGCUCCCCUUGCCAAGAGUGAAGGCAGAUGCCGUGGGAUUCUGCCAGCUGCUGAGUACAUCUAUUUCCAUGAUGCUUUCCGGAAGUGGGGAAAUAGCACAGGAUGGGUUUCAGAUGGACGUAAGCUAAAAACCCAUAAGCCCCCAUUUUGAUGUUCUGGGUCUCCUAGAAUUACUGUCAGCCCAGAACCAGUGGCCAGUAGUCCAAAAGAUCUGAUUAUUUCCUUUUCUCCAAUGCACGCUCAUCCUGGUGAAAGGUGUCUUUGGAGAACUGGGAGAAAGAAUACAGUAUAGAUUUCUGGCAGGCUAUGAGGGUGUUUCCUUGAGGGUAUGCAGCCUUUCCCUCAUUCAAGAGCUUCCAGUCUGAUAAAACUGGCUCAAGUACGGGAAUGGAUUGAGGGGUCAUGACUCUACUCUGCUUUUAUGAUUCGGGAUAGACUUUUGUUUGCUUGACCUAGAAGUUUUCUGCUUAUACAGAUUAAGUACGAACUUAGUAGGCUUCCUGUCUAUUUCACUUCGAGGAACAUCAUGAUCAACCAGCCAACACCACAGGUCCGCAGCAGUCAGACUGAUUUCUGCUUUGACUCCACUGUCCAAUAGGGUCAGCACGUCCACCUUGCCUUUGGUAGUACUACAGCCACGGGGCCCCUGCCACCCUGGAGCCAAUUACUCCCGUCGCAUUCAGGUUACUGGUUCAGUGGCUGCUGUUCCUGCUGUGAGGUCUGGCCUUCAGAGAAGAGUGAUCACAGCUCCUCAAGGAGGCUGGAGCUCCUUUCAUAUAUUUACUUCUCACCAUCAAGGUGAAAGGCGUGUCUUCAGGAGCUUCCCAGCGUGGGUGAGGAGGUCUUAAAGGGAAGCCGAACAUGCCGCAGACCACGCGGGAAUUCUUGGCCGUCCAGUGCUUGUCACAGAUCUGCUUCCAGGUCUUGCCCUCCUUCACCUCCACGUAGCCCUCCGUCACUGGGGUGCGCUUGCGGUAGGUUGAGAGGAUGGCUCGAAUCCGAAUGUCCUCCACCUGGAUAUUCAGGUUCUGAGAAGAAAGAGGCGUGGAAGGAGAGGGUUACCCUACUGGCCUGGCUGCAGAGACACCAGGCAACCAGUACUUCUUUAGCGACUAUGGGCCGGGCCUGCCGCGGGCCUGCCUGUGCCCUCAGGCCCUGCAGUGAGCUCUGGGCACCCCCGAGGGGCACACGGCCCAAGAUGCAGUUAGAAAGCACUAUGCAUGGGAGAUAGUGAGGCUGAAAGGACCCAACAGGGAGUGGAGUGACCUGGAACAGUCAGAAAAGACUCAGAGACCCCAUGGGCUUCUCCUACAUCCGAACCUAAGAUCUUGGAGAGCAAAGGGCAGCAGCCUCCUCCUGCA
rnacentral:sRNA from 1 species